CACGCCGUAAACGAUGAAUACUAGGUAUAGGAGGUAUCGACUCCUUCUGUGCCGCAGCAAACGCAUUAAGUAUUCCACCUGGGGAGUACGGCCGCAAGGUUAAAACUCAAAGGAAUUGACGGGGGCCCGCACAAGCAGUGGAGUAUGUGGUUUAAUUCGAAGCAACGCGAAGAACCUUACCAGGAUUUGACAUCCUCUGUCCACGAUAGAGAUAUCGUCUUUUCUUCGGAAACAGAGAGACAGGUGG
rnacentral:rRNA from 1 species